GAUGAACGCUGGCGGCGUGUCUAAGGCAUGCAAGUCGAAUGCUAGUAGCAAUACUGGCAUGGCAAACGGGAGAGUAACACAUUGGUAACUUACCCCAAAGACGGGAAUAACCUCGCGAAAGCGAGAAUAAUACCCGAUGGUAUUAAAAACUUCUGUUUUUAAUUAAAGCUACGGCGCUUUGGGAGAGGCCUAUGGCCUAUCAGCUAGUUGGUGAGGUAAAAGCUCACCAAGGCUACGACGGGUAUGGGGUGCGAGAGCAUGACCCCACUCACUGGGACUGAGACACUGCCCAGACUCCUACGGGUGGCAG
rnacentral:rRNA from 1 species